GAUCAUGGCUCAGGAUGAACGCCAGCGACAGGCUUAACACAUGCAAGUCGAGGGGCAGCAUAGAAGUAGCAAUACUUGGUGGCGACCGGCGCACGGGUGAGUAACGCGUAUGCAACCUACCUAUCAGAGGGGAAUAACCCGGCGAAAGUCGGACUAAUACCGCAUAAAACAGGGGCACCGCAUGGUGAUAUUUGUUAAAGAAAUUCGCUGAUAGAUGGGCAUGCGUUCCAUUAGGUAGUUGGUGAGGUAACGGCUCACCAAGCCGACGAUGGAUAGGGGAACUGAGAGGUUGGUCCCCCACACUGGUACUGAGACACGGACCAGACUCCUACGGGAGGCAGCAGUGAGGAAUAUUGGUCAAUGGGCGGGAGCCUGAACCAGCCAAGUCGCGUGAAGGAAGAAGGAUCUAUGGUUCGUAAACUUCUUUUGCAGGGGAAUAAAGUGCAGGACGUGUCCUGUUUUGUAUGUACCCUGAGAAUAAGGAUCGGCUAACUCCGUGCCAGCCGCUGC
rnacentral:rRNA from 1 species